UACGAUGGGGGCGAGCGUUGUUCGGAAUUACUGGGCGUAAAGGGCGCGCAGGCGGCCUUAGAAGUCAGAUGUGAAAGCCCCGGGCUCAACCUGGGAAUGACAUUUGAUACUCUGAGGCUGGAGUACGGGAGAGGAGAGUGGAAUUCCCAGUGUAGAGGUGAAAUUCGUAGAUAUUGGGAAGAACACCGGUGGCGAAGGCGGCUCUCUGGACCGUAACUGACGCUGAGGCGCGAAAGCGUGGGGAGCAAACAGG
rnacentral:rRNA from 1 species